UACAGAGGUCUCAAGCGUUUGUUCGGAUUCAUUGGGCGUAAAGGGUGCGUAGGUGGCGCCGUAAGUCAGGUGUGAAAUUUCGGAGCUUAACUCCGAAACUGCAUUUGAUACUGCGGUGCUUGAGGACUGGAGAGGAGACUGGAAUUUACGGUGUAGCAGUGAAAUGCGUAGAGAUCGUAAGGAAGACCAGUGGCGAAGGCGGGUCUCUGGACAGUUCCUGACAGCUGAGG
rnacentral:rRNA from 1 species